ACAAAAAUCAUAGAACAUGUAUUUAUUAAUUAAAAGAGCUAAUUUUUUAGCAUACAAAAAUACUUACUUUCAUAGUUUCACAUUUUUUCUACAUAGAGAACAUCAUGACAAGGCUACCCAAAAAAAUUGAUGAAUUUACCAUGCUCAAACAAUUCACUAUGAAAUUUAUAGGUUUAACCAUAGAAAAGAAAAAGGAAAAAACCACUCAAAGUGGCUCAAAACCGCCAUGUCCUCUCUCCGGGUGCUAAAAGUGACCAGUUUUGAUAGUUAAGGUGAAAAACAGAUGGUUUUGUAGUUGAGGGGUAAAAUUAAACUCGGCCAAUAGUUGAGGGGCUAAAAGUGGACUUAAUCCUUAUUUGUUAAAUAAAUUUGAUACUUAAGGACCGUCAACAAGCCCGGCGCUUUCUUCACCCGUACCGACAACACCCUCCUCGACAUCCAGAAUACGCAAGCAGAACAUGGACGACUCUUGGAACAACAACAAAAAUAGAACGAGGACCACGCCACUGCAGUACAAGAACUGAGACAAGACACCACGACGAUGAACGACAACAUCAGCACCAUGAUGCGAUUCUGGAACAUUAGGUAAGACCGACAAUCACAUC
rnacentral:lncRNA from 1 species